rnacentral:pre_miRNA from 1 species
UAUUUAAUAUAAGUAUAUCCCAAGCAAUAUUUGGGAUAUAUUUAUAUUUAAA